CCUGUUCUUCGGGUCUACAACCAUCUUAAUGAACUUCUUGUACCUGCUGGGAGAAGUUCUGAACAGCUAUAUCUGGGAUACACAGAGAAAGCCUCCAUCUUGGCAAGACACGUAACCUUGCCCCAGCUGUGCAAAACUGGUCCUAAGUCUAUGUCAGAUAACUUAAAAAUGGGAAGGUGGAAAAAGCACAGGAUGUAGUGAUUUGAGUCCUGCAUGAAAAUACAUCCAAAGGGAAGAUGGUUUGAGGAUCUUAGAGAGCUCUGGGCAGCUCCUCCGAUACAGUCACAACAUUGUAGAUAUCACCUGUAAAUGAUCCCUGUUCCACAAACACGGGGCAUCCUGCUUUGUGCCAAAUACUAUGCCAAGAGGUUGAUCUAAUUAGACAAAUAAAACCCAUUCAUUGCAUGUUAUUGAA